UGCAGUCGAACGAUGAACCCCGCUUGCGGGGGGAUUAGUGGCGAACGGGUGAGUAAGACGGAAGUAACCUGCCCUUAACUCUGGGAUAAGCCUGGGAAACUGGGUCUAAUACUGGAUAUUGACUUUCCGCCGCAUGGUGGUUGGUUGAAAGCUUUAGUGGUUUUGGAUGGACUCGCGGCCUAUCAGCUUGUUGGUGAGGUAAUGGCUCACCAAGGCGACGACGGGUAGCCGGCCUGAGAGGGUGACCGGCCACACUGGGACUGAAACACGGCCCAGACUCCUACGGGAGGCAGCAGUGGGGAAUAUUGCACAAUGGGCGAAAGCCUGAUGCAGCGACGCCCCGUGAGGGAUGACGGCCUUCGGGUUGUAAACCUCUUUCACUAGGGAACAAGGCCAGACGUUGUCUGGUUGAGGGUACUUGCACAAGAAGCACCGGCUAACUACGUGCCAGCUCCGCGGUAAUACGUAGGGUGCAAGCGUUAUCCGGAAUUAUUGGGCGUAAAGAGCUCGUACGCGGAUUGUCCCGUCUGCCGUGAAAGUCCGGGGCUCAACCCCGGAUCUGCCGUGGGUACGGGCAGACUAGAGUGAUGUAGGGAGACUGGAAUUCCUGGUGUAGCGGUGAAUGCGCAGAUAUCAAGAGGAACACCGAUGGCAAAGCAUGUCUCUGGACAUUACUGACCUGACGAGCUAACCAUGAGGAGCGAACAGGAUUAGAUCCCUGGUAGUCCAUGCCGUAACGUUGGGCACUAGUGUGGGGACUUCACGUUUCGCGCCGAGCUACGCAUUAAUGCCCGCCUGGGAUACGCCGAAGGUAAACUCAAGAAUGAC
rnacentral:rRNA from 1 species